rnacentral:sRNA from 1 species
GCUGGGUAUGGUGAUGCACACCUGUAAUCCCAGCAGCUCAGAAGGCUGAGGUAGGAGGGUCACAGAGUUCAAAGCCAGCCUCAGCAACAGCAAGGUGCUAAGCAACUCAGUGAGACCCUGUCUCUA